rnacentral:rRNA from 1 species
GACGUAGGGCGCGAGCGUUGUCCGGAUUUAUUGGGCGUAAAGAGCGUGUAGGCGGCCAGGUAGGUCAGCUGUGAAAACUCGAGGCUCAACCUCGAGACGUCGGUUGAAACCACCUGGCUAGAGUCCGGAAGAGGAGAGUGGAAUUCCUGGUGUAGCGGUGAAAUGCGCAGAUAUCAGGAAGAACACCCGUGGCGAAGGCGGCUCUCUGGGACGGUACUGACGCUGAGACGCGAAAGCGUGGGGAGCGAACAGG